AUUGAACGCUGGCGGCACGCUUUACACAUGCAAGUCGAACGGUAGCAGGCCGCAAGGUGCUGACGAGUGGCGAACGGGUGAGUAAUGCAUCGGAACGUGCCCAGUCGUGGGGGAUAACUACUCGAAAGAGUAGCUAAUACCGCAUACGAUCUAUGGAUGAAAGCGGGGGACCGUAAGGCCUCGCGCGAUUGGAGCGGCCGAUGUCAGAUUAGGUAGUUGGUGGGGUAAAGGCUCACCAAGCCAACGAUCUGUAGCUGGUCUGAGAGGACGACCAGCCACACUGGGACUGAGACACGGCCCAGACUCCUACGGGAGGCAGCAGUGGGGAAUUUUGGACAAUGGGCGCAAGCCUGAUCCAGCAAUGCCGCGUGCAGGAAGAAGGCCUUCGGGUUGUAAACUGCUUUUGUACGGAACGAAACGGCUCUGGUUAAUACCCGGGGCUAAUGACGGUACCGUAAGAAUAAGCACCGGCUAACUACGUG
rnacentral:rRNA from 1 species